AGCGAACGUUAGCGGCGCGCCUAACACAUGCAAGUCGCACGGAGUAGCAAUACUCAGUGGCGCACGGGUGCGUAACACGUAGAUAACCUGCCCUGAAGAGGGGGAUAACGUUCCGAAAGGAGCGCUAAUACCGCAUAACGCUGAGACGGGUUCGCCUGUUUCGGACAAAGGCUGGGACCAGCACUGGCCAGUCGCUUUCGGAGGGGUCUGCGGCCCAUCAGCGAGUUGGUAAGGUAAUGGCUUACCAAGGCAAAGACGGGUAGCUGGUCUGAGAGGAUGAUCAGCCACACUGGUACUGGAACACGGACCAGACACCUACGGGAGGCAGCAGUGGGGAAUCUUGGUCAAUGGGCGCAAGCCUGAACCAGCGACGCCGCGUGAGUGAUGAAGGCCUUCGGGUUGUAAAGCUCUGUGGGGAGGGACGAAAGACUGAGGUCUAAUAGGCUUCAGGUUGACGGUACCUCCUUAGCAAGCACCGGCUAACUCUGUGCCAGCCGCCGCGGUAA
rnacentral:rRNA from 1 species